AUCCCUUGGGACCUUGUUAAAAUGCAGUGUCUGAUUCAGAGGCACUAGGGGGGGCCCAAGAUUGUGCAUUUCUAGCAAGCUCCCAGGUGAUGCUGA
rfam:Macaca mulatta chromosome 8, whole genome shotgun sequence.